rnacentral:tRNA from 1 species
UCAGGAGAGCUCAUGCGGUAGGCAGAGGACUGAAAAUUCUGGUGUCGCCAGUUCAAAUCUGGUUCCUG